CUCAAAGGAAUUGACGGGGGCCCGCACAAGCGGUGGAGCAUGUGGUUUAAUUCGAAGCAACGCGAAGAACCUUACCAGGUCUUGACAUCCUUUGACCACUCUAGAGAUAGAGCUUUCCCUUCGGGGACAAAGUGACAGGUGGUGCAUGGUUGUCGUCAGCUCGUGUCGUGAGAUGUUGGGUUAAGUCCCGCAACGAGCGCAACCCUUAUUGUUAGUUGCCAUCAUUUAGUUGGGCACUCUAGCGAGACUGCCGGUGACAAACCGGAGGAAGGUGGGGAUGACGUCAAAUCAUCAUGCCCCUUAUGACCUGGGCUACACACGUGCUACAAUGGGAAGUACAACGAGUCGCUAGACCGCGAGGUCAUGCAAAUCUCUUAAAGCUUCUCUCAGUUCGGAUUGCAGGCUGCAACUCGCCUGCAUGAAGCCGGAAUCGCUAGUAAUCGCGGAUCAGCACGCCGCGGUGAAUACGUUCCCGGGCCUUGUACACACCGCCCGUCACACCACGAGAGUUUGUAACACCCGAAGUCGGUGAGGUAACCUUUUUGGAGCCAGCCGCCUAAGGUGGGAUAGAUGAUUGGGGUGAAGUCGUAACAAGGUAGCCGUAUCGGAAGGUGCGGCUGGAUCACCUCCUUU
rnacentral:rRNA from 1 species